rnacentral:rRNA from 1 species
CCGCCGCGUGUCCGGUUCUUCCAUUGGCUAGCGCACCUGGAUCGCUGCUGGAUAACGGACCGCCUCGCCCGACGCGGCCUACCACACCCCGUGCGCUGCCCACUCUGCGACCAGGCGCCCAAGACAAUGAACCACCUCCUCCUCGCCUGCCCCUUCGCCCGGCAGACCUGGCACGAGACGCUCAGCUGGCUUCGGGCCCCAUGCCCCCUGCCUGCCCACGAGCCCUGUCUCAACGAAUGGUGGCAAUCCACGAGGCCGCUCGCGCCCAAGGCCAUGCGCAAAGGCCUCGCCUCUGCAGUCCUGCUCGUUCCUUGGAUGCUAUGGAAGCACCGCAAUGACUGCGUUUUCAACCAUGGCCGCCCUUCGGUUACUGAGCUGCUCAUGAAGAUCAAGGAGGAUUACCAUCCAGAGUUGUAA